rnacentral:rRNA from 1 species
GAGUUUGAUCAUGGCUCAGAUUGAACGCUGGCGGCAUGCCUUACACAUGCAAGUCGAACGGCAGCAUGAUCUAGCUUGCUAGAUUGAUGGCGAGUGGCGAACGGGUGAGUAAUACAUCGGAACGUGCCCUGUAGUGGGGGAUAACUAGUCGAAAGAUUAGCUAAUACCGCAUACAACCUGAGGGUGAAAGGUGGGGGACCGCAAGGCCUCAUGCUAUAGGAGCGGCCGAUGUCUGAUUAGCUAGUUGGUGGGGUAAAGGCCCACCAAGGCGACGAUCAGUAGCUGGUCUGAGAGGACGAUCAGCCACACUGGGACUGAGACACGGCCCAGACUCCUACGGGAGGCAGCAGUGGGGAAUUUUGGACAAUGGGCGAAAGCCUGAUCCAGCAAUGCCGCGUGUGUGAAGAAGG